ensembl:lncRNA novel transcript
GCCGCUCUCCGCCUCUCUAGGCUCAGCUUCCAUCACCGCGUGGCGGAGCCCGUGUCCGGGCCAGUAUUUCUGCCUGUCACUUAUUAUCUGGUUGAGCUGGUGGCGGGAGUCCCGGCCCAUGUGUGUUACCAGAGGGAUGGUCUAGAGAAUGAAUCCAUCUGUCAGAGGCAUCCAAGAAGAAAGGCCUGGGCCAGGAUCACAUGGAAGACCCUGAAGACAGGAUCGGGUCUUGCCUGCCUGGAUUGAACAGAGACGCAGUGACCAGUCCCAUCUGCUCCCACCCUGCUGCCCUCUGAAUCGAGAGUUUGAGGCCAUGACCAGGGUAACGUUCAGCUGGUAGAGACAACACAACCCUGCUGGCUGUUUAAGCCAUGCUGGAGUGGUGCUCACAGGGUAACAAUUUUCAAGUGCUACGGAUGCAAUAGCUCAGCGACUGGCAGCGCAGCACGUACCUGCUGUCGUGGGAGGUGAGAGCCACCAGUGCCCGACAGCGGCUGCAAGGCAGUGGUGGCGCUCUGCAGCCAGCCGGCCCACCCCUCCAACAUCUGCAAGGGGGUGGGAGGCUGCCUCACCAAGCUACCUGCUACUCAUGGGGGCGAUGGGCAUCAGGGUGGCCUGCCUGGAGCCCCGAGAGCACAUAGAAGCUGCCAGAUGAGGGCAGUGAGGCCGAGGGCCGGCAGUAGGGCUGCAGAUGCCCUGAGCCCUAAGGUCAAGGUGGAUGGAACUGCUGUGUAAGUCUGAUGCCGAGGAGACCAGGUCGUUGGGCUUUCAGGUGAGUGGACGCUUUCUCCCCACUCACAACCCCCACCAUGCAGUCUCUGCUCCUCCAUGGUCACUGUGGAAUGGCUCCUGAUGGCGCUCAACCCCUUGCCCUGUUUUCUCCCCUGCGGUCCACUGAGCCAGCCCUGCGGCCGCCAAGUCUCAGGUUAGAGCUCCCUCUCGCGGCCGAUGCUGGGCACUACAUUGCCCAAGACCCAGGUGGGCCGAAGUCUUGAGAAAGGGCUCGCAGUCAUCGUCGCCAGCAGGCAGACACCAGGCACCUACCUCCCCGACAUACCCAGCCUGGUACCUCGAAGACCAGUAGCCUUGAGCUACACUUGGGAUUCCCAAUACAGUUUCAAAACCGUCUAGCUCAUCUUUCAGGAACCUUCCAGGGUUCACAUUCUGAUUUUUCAGUAAGGUUCUCACCUCUGUGACCAAUUACCUUGAGACUGAUGUCCUGCACCAUCCUGGAGUGUUGGGAUCUGCAGGUCGUGAAAAGGGAAACCAAGCAAUCACUUUGGAAUGACUUCCUGGAACUUCCCUGGCCCCUCCUUCGUGUUCUCUGAUGACAGCCAGGAGCUGACUCAGAAACCUCAUAAGAAGCUGAAGGCAUGACGACUUCCCUGUUAAAAAAAAAAUGUCCCACGUGUGGCCGAGUGCCACACCCAGGCAGCUGCCGAAAAAAAGCACCAGACACCAUGCAGCUGGGCCCCAGGGCCCGGCCCAACCCGGUUGGCCUUCUCCGGCACCUGCAGGGAACUUGUCCUGUCUUGUCUCUGCUCGCCCCCUGCUGGCUGCCUGGAGCCAUUCCGUGCUGGUUUCUUCGCGUCUUCUGUCAGGAGAGAGAUGCUGAUGCUUACUCAGGGAUCCGGCGGGUCAGUAUCCUGUGCCCUCUGCACGAUUCAGGGUGGGGGUGUGCGCGUGUGUGUGUGCAUGUGGACCCACAUUGAUGAGUCUGGCCCAUACACCUCCACCCUUAUUGGACCUCUCCUGGGAGCACCCUGGGAACACACAUCUCAUGCAGAAGUGUGUCUCUUGAGAGCCUAGCUCCUCCUGUCCUCCCCCAGCAUCAGAUGUACACUGUACGAGACGUGAAUUUUGCUUACAGCACAAAUCUGUGCUGGCCUAACAGCUCCCUUCUGGCCUCCCCCUUAGCAUGGAUCAGAAAGAUCCAGAAAGUGCACAGGAAAAUCAUCAACCCAUGAGGUGGGGACAGGGGAAGAGGGCAUGCCGCAUAACACCUACGUGGGUGGAGGGGCUGUGACAGCCACUUGCUUAAGCUGGUGGGACAUGAAAUAACCUCCUAAGCCACAUUUCAGCUGUGACCCUGAGGCCCCGAGGUGGAUUAACAGAGCCCUCAGCACCGAGUCUCCAAGCUGAAGGCAGUGGUCACACUCCCUGCUGCCCUCCAGGUUUGGAGGGAUGGAGAGGAGAGAGGAGGGGAAGAAGCUACCUUCUUCACUAGCCUUGCUGAGAGACAAGUGGGUACGGCCCACAGGCACCUCCACCAGCCUGCCCUCUACAUCCAGAUUCGCAAGGUCAGGGCGGCAGCAGCAGCUGGAAACAUUGGGGAAAGUCGGGGUGUUGUUUCUAUACUUAGGGGAAUCUACUGUCACCCCAGGUGGCACGGGACAUUCACGGGGCUGCUCUAGCCCAGUGCCCCUCUCCUGCAGACAGAGUCGAGACCUGACAACAGGUCAUCAUCAUUAUCAGGAUCAUGAUGACAUUAUCCCAGUGCAUCCUUGAGUGGGAGGGAGGAGAGGAAGAAGAAGGUGGCGGGGGGCAGGGGGUGUCCAUGAAGAGCAAGGUGGGAGAAUAAAGGUCCUCUGUGUUUUAGAAAUGGGAAGUGAGACGGGGCGGACAGCGACCUUCCCAAGCCUGCGCGUGCUUUGGGUAGGAUGCUCCAGCCCCUUCCUGUUCGGCCCCUGGUUGCCGACAGAGGGGCUGGCAGGCGGGACUCCUGCGGCUGGGCUUGGCGCUGCCUUCUGUGCUCACUGUCAGAGCUGAUGACAGCUCUAGGGGCUCCUCCCAGAGUCUCCGUUUCCCCCAUGGCUCUUGCACAUGGCAGAGCAUCCAUAACGGACCUGAGUUUUGUUCCGGAGUCUGAGGGCAGCAAAAUACAGGCCGUUUCCCAGAGAAGAAGGCGGCUUCAGACAGCUCUGAUGAGGGAGCAGAAAUACUCACUCGGGAUCUCAUU